rnacentral:rRNA from 1 species
AUUGAACGCUGGCGGCAUGCCUUACACAUGCAAGUCGAACGGCAGCACGGGGCAACCUGGUGGCGAGUGGCGAACGGGUGAGUAAUGCAUCGGAACGUACCUUUCAGUGGGGGAUAACGUAGCGAAAGUUACGCUAAUACCGCAUAUUCUGUGAGCAGGAAAGCAGGGGAUCGCAAGACCUUGCGCUGAUUGAGCGGCCGAUGUCAGAUUAGCUAGUUGGUGAGGUAAAGGCUCACCAAGGCGACGAUCUGUAGCGGGUCUGAGAGGAUGAUCCGCCACACUGGAACUGAGACACGGUCCAGACUCCUACGGGAGGCAGCAGUGGGGAAUUUUGGGCAAUGGGGGCAACCCUGAUCCAGCCAUGCCGCGUGAGUGAAGAAGGCCUUCGGGUUGUAAAGCUCUUUCGGCCGGGAAGAAAUCGCACGGGCUAAUAUCCUGUGUGGAUGACGGUACCGGAAUAAGAAGCACCGGCUAACUACGUGCCAGCCGCCGCGGUAA